GGAAUUUUGGGCAAUAGGCGAAAGCCUGACCCAGCAACGCCGCGUGAAGGAUGAAAUCCCUCGGGAUGUAAACUUCGCAAGAACGGGAAGAAUAAGUAGGGGACAAUACCCCCUAUGAUGACGGUACCGUUUGUAAGCUCCGCCUAACUCCGUCCCCGCAGCCGCGGUAAUACGGGGGGAGCAAGCGUUGUGCGGAUUUACUGGGCGUAAAGGGCGCGUAGGCGGUCAGCACAAGUCAGUUGUGAAAUCUCCGAGCUUAACUCGGAAAGGUCAACUGAUACUGUGCGACUAGAGUGCAGAAGGGGCAACUGGAAUUCUCGGUGUAGCGGUGAAAUGCGUAGAUAUCGAGAGGAACACCUGCGGCGAAGGCGGGUUGCUGGGCUGACACUGACGCUGAGGCGUGAAAGCUAGGGGAGCGAA
rnacentral:rRNA from 1 species